UACGAAGGGGGCGAGCGUUGUUCGGAGUUACUAGGCGUAAAGGGCGCGUAGGCGGCGAUCCAAGUUAGGCGUGAAAGCCCCGGGCUUAACCUGGGAAUUGCGCUUAAGACUGGACUGCUUGAGUGCGGGAGAGGUGAGUGGAAUUCCCAGUGUAGAGGUGAAAUUCGUAGAUAUUGGGAAGAACACCAGUGGCGAAGGCGGCUCACUGGCCCGCAACUGACGCUGAGGCGCGAAAGCGUGGGGAGCAAACAGG
rnacentral:rRNA from 1 species